AUUGCGAUAGUAUGCGUGUUUUCUUGUUCAAUUUAGCCAUACAGCCGCCCAGUCGGUGAACGUUUGGGGGCUUUCUGCUUUGGGAAAGUUCGUCUUGCAUCAGUGUUCUCGGGGUUUUGACAGCGUAUAGUGUGUUUGGAACGCUAAGUGUUAUUCUUCAUUUCUUUUUUCCCUCCUCUUAAGUAAAACAAAAAAACACAGUCACCAUGGACGCCAUCAAGAAGAAGAUGCAAGCGAUGAAGCUUGAGAAGGAUAACGCCAUUGAUAAGGCCGAUACCUGUGAAUCUCAAGCUAAGGAUGCCAAUGCCCGCGCCGACAAAUUGCAAGAAGAAUUGCGCGAUUUGGAGAAAAAAUUGGUACAAGUUGAUGUUGAUUUGGUCACAUCCAAGGAACAAUUGGACAAGGCCAACCGCGAAUUGGAAGAGAAGGAGAAACAAUUGACCACCACCGAAUCUGAGGUAGCCACUUUGAAUCGUAAAGUGCAACAGAUUGAAGAAGAUUUGGAAAAAUCUGAAGAACGCUCCACCAGCGCCCAACAAAAAUUGCUGGAAGCCACACAAGCCGCUGACGAGAACAACCGUAUGUGCAAAGUAUUGGAGAACCGUUCGCAGCAGGAUGAGGAACGUAUGGAUCAAUUGACCAACCAGUUGAAGGAAGCCCGUAUGUUGGCUGAGGAUGCUGAUACCAAAUCCGAUGAAGUAUCACGUAAGCUGGCCUUCGUUGAAGACGAGUUGGAAGUGGCUGAAGAUCGUGUCAGGUCCGGUGAAGCCAAGAUCAUGGAACUUGAGGAAGAAUUGAAGGUCGUCGGUAACUCGUUGAAAUCCUUGGAAGUGUCCGAGGAGAAGGCCAACCAACGCGUUGAGGAGUUCAAGCGCGAGAUGAAGACUCUGUCUGUGAAAUUGAAGGAAGCCGAACAGCGCGCCGAACAUGCUGAGAAGCAAGUGAAGCGUCUGCAGAAGGAGGUCGACAGGCUAGAAGACCGUCUCUUCCAUGAGAAAGAAAAAUACAAAGCAAUCUGCGAUGAUUUGGAUUCAACAUUUGCCGAACUUACCGGAUAUUAAAUAUCAAAUAUCACAAAAAUAUAUCUUUUCGUAUAUCAUUCAGUUAAAACAAAGAAAACGACUACAUUCAAAUAUACAAACAACUUCAAUUGUAGUUUUCGAAAUGUUUGCCUAACCAAAAAACAAAACGCAAUUUCCGACAUAAAAAUACGUACUUUUCCGAAUUACACAAACAAACAAAUAUUGAUGCCACUAAAUUGGUGGCUUUUGGCCCCUUCAAACAUACACUGCAAAAAAUAUGUUACCACACAUUUACAAAUCAUCACAGAAACAAUUUUCGGCCCAUUUACCAUGUUACUGUUACCUUUUAAUCAAAAGAGAAAGACAAAAACUGCCACUUCCCCACUCACUCCAAGUACACUGUAAAUAUUCGCCCACCCCACUAGUCAUUUUUUUUUUGGUAAUGCCACGUUCGUCAGCUGCGCUUUUAAUAUCCGCUAACCAACAACUGCUGAGUAAAAAUCUUAAUUACUGUGUACAUAACAACAGCAAAAAUAAAUGCGAGAGUGCCGUUCUAGUGAUGCUCUAUUCUGUAAAAUAAUGUAUAAAAGACGAAUUGGGCGUUAACAAGGACAGAUACAAGUCGCUCGCCGACGAGAUGGACUCCACAUUCGCCGAAUUGGCUGGUUAUUAAAGUGUUCAUUAAGUGAAGACGACAAUGCUUUUCUAAGGAAAAAGUUCGCUUGUAGUGUUUUCGCUUUUGGAGUCAAACAUCCAUGUGCAACAACAAUCACAACAACAAAUUGUAACCUGUAAAUUUAAUAUAAUUGUAUAAAUGUUAAAAACACCAACAACAUAAUGAAGAUAAACUAAAAUUUAUAAAAAAAAUUAUUAACGACAACAACAGCAACAACAACACCUUUAAUUGCUUUUUCAUUUUUCUAGUAAACAAAAAAUGCAACAAUGCAAUACAAAAGUAAAUGGAGCAUACGCGCUUUGAAAUCAUAUUUUAUUAAAUAAAUUAAACAAAACAAAAAAAAAAUAAAACACUUUUUACAAAUUUCCUAAUUCAACGAAAAAAUAUAAAAAAAACCCACACAAACACACAUUUGGAGUGUCGUUUCGAGCAAAUAUAUGAAUUAAAUCAAGUUUUGAUUAAAAAAUAGCUACAACAGCAACAAAACCAACAAUAUUAACUGUCUUAUCACAACUUUUAAUGCAAAAUUUAGUUUCUCAUUUCGGUUCAAUUAAAUUUUAUCUUUUUUGUUACUCGCUUAUUUACAUAACACUUAAAACGCAUACAAAUACAUAUGUAUAUGUAGAGAGAAGAGAAUAUUGUUCGACUUUGAUCAGGAAUAUUACACUGGGAGAGCAAAUGAUAAAUUUAAUAUAAAAUAUAUUUAUUAAUAAAAAACCAAAAACAACAAAAAA
rnacentral:misc_RNA from 1 species